GCGCUGUCGAGCUAGGAGACAUCUUCGUCCAGACCUCCUCCUCUGCGGUACAAUUUCGGUAGUCCCCCUUAUUAAUACGAACGUCCACGUCGGACUCGUAGUAGGAGUACUCUCCUCUGACUUCGUCGGUGGUUUCAAUACCACACGUUCAUCGAUUCGAAGAGUUGUUAGCUCGGAUUCUAAACGUGUAAGAAAAAGUCUCAAAGACGAGCGACAUGGUAUCUUGUCCACUCCACUUCUAGGACGUCUAACCAGUCGGCAUGUUCUAGAUUGUUUAAGUCACCACUCGUU
rnacentral:rRNA from 1 species